UGGUUCUGCAGUUGGUCAUUAUGUGUGGAAGACGAGCAUUCAGGCUUUCUCUGCUUCUGCUGGUGUGGGGUGUGUGCACAUCCUUUGAAGAAAUUCAAGUGAAAACAUUGGAAACAGGUGAAGAUUUGGGCACUCUAGCCUGUCCAAACCAAACCAUUCAUGACGUGAUAUAUGUAAUAUGUAAGUUAGAUAGAGUGAUAAGUGGUGGGAAUGAGUGUCAAGUGUCUCUUCGGUUUGACCAAAAUGUUACCAACAGCACUUGUGACCCCAGAGUCACACUACAGACAGAGAGUGACAGAGUGUUUCUACACAUCACCAACAUACAACCAUCUGAUGAAGGGAACUACACCUGUGAGUGUGUAUAUAAUGGAGGAACACAUUUUUUGCAUCUCAAUAUUUCUGUCAAUGGAUCACAUGUCACAAACAACUUUUCUUUCAUACGUUCUUUCAAUUUCAUGAUAAUAACAGCCUUUGCAGGAUUUGUAGCUGUCGUGGUCCUUGUUGGAAUAAUCACGAGGAAAUGUCAUCUCAAGUAAGAUAUUCUUAUUAGCUUGUUAAA